rnacentral:rRNA from 1 species
CGCGCAGGCGGCUGGUCAAGUCCGAUGUGAAAUCUCCCGGCUCAACUGGGAAACUGCAUCGGAAACUGAUCGGCUUGAAGGUGGGAGAGGGUAGUGGAAUUCCCGGUGUAGUGGUGAAAUGCGUAGAUAUCGGGAGGAACACCAGUGGCGAAGGCGGCUACCUGGCCCAUUCUUGACGCUGAGGCGCGAAAGCUAGGGGAGCGAACG